GCGGGAGUGGCGAAAUUGGUAGACGCACCAGGUUUAGGUCCUGACGCUGAUAAGGCGUGUCGGUUCAAGUCCGGCCUCCCGCACCA
rnacentral:tRNA from 1 species